UGGAGUAUAGCCAAGUGGUAAGGCAUCGGUUUUUGGUACCCGCAUGCAAAGGUUCAAAUCGUUUUACUCAAG
rfam:Nicotiana attenuata strain TT chromosome 1, whole genome shotgun sequence.